rnacentral:rRNA from 1 species
UACGUAGGGUGCGAGCGUUGUCCGGAAUUAUUGGGCGUAAAGAGCUCGUAGGCGGUCUGUCGCGUCGGUCGUGAAAACUUGGGGCUUAACCCUGAGCUUGCGGUCGAUACGGGCAUGACUGGAGUUCGGCAGGGGAGACUGGAAUUCCUGGUGUAGCGGUGAAAUGCGUAGAUAUGUGGAGGAACACCGAUGGCGAAGGCAGCCCCCUGGGUUAACACUGACGCUCAUGCACGAAAGCGUGGGGAGCAAACAGG